AUUGAACGCUGGCGGCAUGCCUUACACAUGCAAGUCGAACGGUAACAGGUCUUCGGAUGCUGACGAGUGGCGAACGGGUGAGUAAUACAUCGGAACGUGCCUAGUAGUGGGGGAUAACUACUCGAAAGAGUGGCUAAUACCGCAUGAGAUCUACGGAUGAAAGCAGGGGAUCGCAAGACCUUGUGCUACUAGAGCGGCCGGUGGCAGAUUAGGUAGUUGGUGGGAUAAAAGCUUACCAAGCCGACGAUCUGUAGCUGGUCUGAGAGGACGAUCAGCCACACUGGGACUGAGACACGGCCCAGACUCCUACGGGAGGCAGCAGUGGGGAAUUUUGGACAAUGGGCGAAAGCCUGAUCCAGCAAUGCCGCGUGCAGGAUGAAGGCCUUCGGGUUGUAAACUGCUUUUGUACGGAACGAAAAGCCCCGGGUUAAUACCCUGGGGUCAUGACGGUACCGUAAGAAUAAGCACCGGCUAACUACGUGCCAGCUGCCGCAGUAA
rnacentral:rRNA from 1 species